rnacentral:lncRNA from 1 species
CAGCUUAAAGCCACUAUUAUUUUGGAAAAGACUAUUAUUUUGGAAAAGGAGAUAUCUCCGUAGAUGGUUUUGCAUGAUUGUUACAGAAAGUAAGUCUGUGCAGUGACAUCAUUAAUAAGCCUGAGUCCAGAAGCAGUUAGUCAACUGCAUCAGUGCAGAUUUUAGUAUUUGCAUACUCCAUGAAGCUUAGCACCUUGCUACUACUACCUGUCUUCCACCUCAGCUGGACUCAUCUUUUUAUGCACUCUAAUCUGGAAGCAUCCUUGCCUGGCCCACUCCUCAUCCUUCAGGCUUUCUCUUAGUGGACAUUUUCUUCUGGAAGCCUGUUCAUGCCCCCAAAUCUGGAAAUAUGGGUUAUGUCUCACUCCUGAAUGCACUCACCCUGUGUUUUGCAUUUGUUGCUGCACUUGUCUCUCAGCCUGGUAUUGAUUCACUUGUCUCUGCUUCACCUUGGGGUGGAUUGUUCAUGCCAUCUGAAGAGGACUCUGGCUGUGCAGGUCUUGUUCAGUCUGGGCCUAUAACUGAUGCA